rnacentral:tRNA from 1 species
GGCUACAUAGCUCAGUCGGUUAGAGCGCAGCAUUCAUAAUGCUGAUGUCCCAGGUUCAAGUCCCGGUGUAGCC